rnacentral:tRNA from 1 species
GCACCGUUAACUCAGCGGCCAGAGUGCGCCCCUGUCUAGGGCGAAGCCGAGGGUUCGACUCCCUCACGGUGCGCCA